rnacentral:rRNA from 1 species
UACGAAGGGGGCUAGCGUUGUUCGGAAUUACUGGGCGUAAAGCGCGCGCAGGCGGUUCGAUAAGUUGGGGGUGAAAUCCCCGGGCUCAACCCGGGAAUGGCCUUCAAGACUGUCGAUCUAGAGGACGAGAGAGGUGAGUGGAAUUCCCAGUGUAGAGGUGAAAUUCGUAGAUAUUGGGAAGAACACCGGUGGCGAAGGCGGCUCACUGGCUCGUAACUGACGCUCAGGCGCGACAGCGUGGGGAUCGAAACAGG